AACGUAGGAGGCAAGCGUUACCCGGAGUUACUGGGCGUAAAGCGCGUGUAGGUGGAUCGGUAAGUUACUUAUAAAAGCUCCUGGCUAAACUAGGAGAGGUUGAGUGAUACUGCCAGUCUUGAAUAGAGGAGAGGUUGACGGAAUUCCGCGUGUAGUGGUGAAAUGCGUAGAGAUGCGGAAGAACACCAGUGGCGAAGGCGGUCAACUGGCCUCAUAUUGACACUCCGACGCGAAGGCAUGGGUAGCGAACGGG
rnacentral:rRNA from 1 species